rnacentral:SRP_RNA from 1 species
GCUGGGCGUGGUGGUGCGCGUCUGUAAUCCCAGCUACUCAGGAGGCUGAGGCAGGAGAAUUGCUUGAACCCGGGAGGCGGAGGUUGCAGUGAGCAGAGUUCGCGCCACUGCACUCCAGCCUGGGUGACAGAGCAAGACUCCGUCUCGA